GACGUAGGAGGCGAGCGUUAUCCGGAUUCACUGGGCGUAAAGCGCAUGUAGGCGGAUGUCUAAGUCGUGUGUUAAAGCCCCUGGCUCAACUGGGGGAGGUCAUGCGAGACUGGAUGACUUGAGGGCAACAGAGGCACGUGGAAUUCCGGGUGUAGUGGUGAAAUGCGUAGAGAUCCGGAGGAACCCCAGAGGCGAAGGCGGCCCCCUGGCUCGUACCUGACGCUCAGCCACGAAAGCAUGGGGAGCGAACGGG
rnacentral:rRNA from 1 species